UACGGGGGGAGCAAGCGUUGUUCGGAUUUACUGGGCGUAAAGGGCGCGUAGGCGGUCGUGACAAGUCACUUGUGAAAUCUCCGGGCUUAACUCGGAAAGGUCAAGUGAUACUGUCGGACUAGAGUCUGGUAGGGGGAUCUGGAAUUCCUGGUGUAGCGGUGGAAUGCGCAGAUAUCAGGAGGAACACCGGUGGCGAAGGCGGGAUCCUGGGCCAGUACUGACGCUGAGGAGCGAAAGCGUGGGGAGCAAACAGG
rnacentral:rRNA from 1 species